AGUGAACGCUGGCGGUAGGCCUAACACAUGCAAGUCGAACGGCAGCACAGUAAGAGCUUGCUCUUACGGGUGGCGAGUGGCGGACGGGUGAGGAAUACAUCGGAAUCUACUUUUUCGUGGGGGAUAACGUAGGGAAACUUACGCUAAUACCGCAUACGACCUACGGGUGAAAGCAGGGGAUCUUCGGACCUUGCGCGAUUGAAUGAGCCGAUGUCGGAUUAGCUAGUUUGCGGGGUAAAGGCCCACCAAGGCGACGAUCCGUAGCUGGUCUGAGAGGAUGAUCAGCCACACUGGAACUGAGACACGGUCCAGACUCCUACGGGAGGCAGCAGUGGGGAAUAUUGGACAAAGGGCGCAAGCCUGAUCCAGCCAUACCGCGUGGGUGAAGAAGGCCUUCGGGUUGUAAAGCCCUUUUGUUGGGAAAGAAAAGCAGCAGGUUAAUACCCCGCUGUUCUGACGGUACCCAAAGAAUAAGCACCGGCUAACUUCGUG
rnacentral:rRNA from 1 species